GUUAGGAAUAUUCGUCAAUGGGGGAAACCCUGAACGAGCAAUGCCGCGUGAGUGAUGACGGUCUUAAUGAUUGUAAAACUCUGUUGUAAAGGAAGAAUAGCUAUCAUAGGCAAUGAUGAUAGUAUGACGGUACUUUACCAGAAAGCCCCGGCUAACUACGUGCCAGCAGCCGCGGUAAUACGUAGGGGGCAAGCGUUAUCCGGAUUUAUUGGGCGUAAAGCGUUCGUAGGCGGUUUGUUAAGUCUAAGAUUUAAGCCCGAGGCUCAACCUCGGUUCGUUUUAGAAACUGGCAGACUUGAGUGUGGUAGAGGCAAGUGGAAUUUCUAGUGUAGCGGUUAAAUGCGUAGAUAUUAGAAGGAACACCAGUGGCGAAGGCGGCUUGCUGGGCCAUUACUGACGCUGAGGAACGAAAGCGUGGGGAGCAAAUAGGA
rnacentral:rRNA from 1 species